CCAGGACCUUGCGUCCUAUAUCUUUUAACCAUUUCCCUAUUCCAAAGGUCCAGUCAGAACCAGUCAUAUCCUCACACAGUUCCUCAAAACAUGGGAAUCCAUCCUUGGCACGCAACAUAUAUCAAAGACACACAUAGUACAUCCAUUCCUGGGUCUGCUAACACUUCCUCUCUCUCCGGCUAACUCUAUAAAAAUAGUUCAAUAGUUCAGCAUUGUUCAGAAAAAUAGAAUAAGUCUUUCACAGAGUAUAAAGAAGUCAGUUUAGACACCAUACAUUUUGUUCCAUAAAAUGGCUAAGGGUAGCAAUAUGGCUGACAACAAGACAAUGUCAGCUUCCACAUAGUUCUUCUUUUGUUUGCUGGAUUUUCACCUCAAAGCUCUGUGCAACACCCCAAUGGUUGAAAGGGUUAUUACAGAACCAGCGGUAUUAGACAGCACUGCACCUUCAGGACUUUCCAGGUUCUUGCGUGCAAAGUUUAUGUCCUCAUAAAUAAGUAUCAGUUUCUUCGGCCUGCAUGGAUAAUGACCAAACAGAUGUAAUUGCAAAAUACUUAUUGCAUGGUCAGCCAGAGAGAUUGGUGUGUAGUCCCAGAAAUCAGGCGGCACAAAAACUCCAGGACGGUCUCUACAAUCAUACAAACACAAGGAUCAAUACAACAUCAUUAAUUACCUAGGCUAAAACUUAAAUUAGAGAUUAAGGUUAAACCCUUAACUCGUUUAGCAUGUACCUCUCAUAUAUUUGCUUAUAUUUUAUGCAAUCUGUCUUCUAUGACAUUUUACAUAAUACCCCUUUGGAAUGCCUUUGUACGGAUGAGAGAAGCACUCACUCUAUAGAAAUGCUUGUUAGGAUGAAUAUUAAAACACUAACA